UCCGGCUUGUCGCCGGCGGUCCCUUUAGAGUGCCCAACUAAAUGAUGGCAACUAAAGGCGAGGGUUGCGCUCGUUGCGGGACUUAACCCAACAUCUCACGACACGAGCUGACGACAGCCAUGCAGCACCUGUCUCGCGAUUCCCGAAGGCACCAAGGCAUUUCUGCCGAGUUCCGCGGAUGUCAAGACCAGGUAAGGUUCUUCGCGUUGCAUCGAAUUGAACCACAUGCUCCACCGCUUGCGCGGGUCCCCGUCAAUUCCUUUGAGUUUCAACCUUGCGAGCGUACUCCCCAGGUGGAUUACUUAACGCUUUCGCUAAGCCACUAAAAGUUGCCCUCUAGCAGCGAGUAAUCAUCGUUUACAGUGCGGACUAC
rnacentral:misc_RNA from 1 species